rnacentral:rRNA from 1 species
AUGGCAACAGCGGCCGUUCGCGCCGUCGCCCGUAAGGAUGGCACCGGUCAUUUCCAACAUCACCUGCAAGCUUUCUCCGAUGAGAUGACGGAGGUACGGCGACGGCGCCCUCGCACAGCGAGCUGUGUGGAACCCCGAACGGGAGCCGUCGACGCGGCCACAUCAGGCGAGGAUUCGACAUGCAGUUUGCUGGAGUUGAUCCUGCGAUCUCGCGGUUUCCGCACUAGACUGUUAGCCUCGCCGCAACAUUUGGAAGAAGGCAAUCUGGAUCCAAAUGAAUCACAUAUUUGCAAGAGAAGGGAAGAUGAAAACUAA